GACGAACGCUGGCGGCGUGCUUAACACAUGCAAGUCGAACGAGACGAUUGAAAGCUUGCUUUUAAAAGUCGAGUGGCAAACGGGUGAGUAACGCGUAGACAACCUGCCUUUGAGAUGGGGACAACAGUUCGAAAGGACUGCUAAUACCGAAUGUUGUAUAUUUUCCACAUGGAAGAUAUAUUAAAGAUGGCCUCUAUUUAUAAGCUAUCGCUCAAAGAUGGGUCUGCGUCUGAUUAGCUGGUUGGUGGGGUAACGGCCUACCAAGGCGACGAUCAGUAGCCGGUCUGAGAGGAUGAACGGCCACAUUGGGACUGAGACACGGCCCAGACUCCUACGGGAGGCAGCAGUGGGGAAUCUUCCACAAUGGACGAAAGUCUGAUGGAGCAACGCCGCGUGAGUGAAGAAGGGUUUCGGCUCGUAAAGCUCUGUUGUCGGGGACGAAUGUGCAGUAUUUGAAUAAAGUACUGCAAUGACGGUACCUGACGAGGAAGCCACGGCUAACUACGUGCCAGCCGCCGCCGUAA
rnacentral:rRNA from 1 species